rnacentral:rRNA from 1 species
CGAACGGGUGAGUAAUGCGUGACCAACCUGCCCCAUGCUCCAGAAUAGCUCUUGGAAACGGGUGGUAAUGCUGGAUGCUCCAACUUGACGCAUGUCUUGUUGGGAAAGUGUUUAGUGGCAUGGGAUGGGGUCGCGUCCUAUCAGCUUGUAGGCGGGGUAAUGGCCCACCUAGGCUUCGACGGGUAGCCGGCCUGAGAGGGCGGACGGCCACAUUGGGACUGAGAUACGGCCCAGACUCCUACGGGAGGCAGCAA